GCCUCCUAUGCCAGAUCAUCCAUACACUAGAGACUCUGACUCACCACCGCCUACCACAGAGUAUGCUGAGGGGUUACUCGGGUUAGUGGCCUCGCUCGAAGGCAUGGUCUUGCGGAGAGAGGCGCAACUGUCCAUCAUGGGCGUCUCGAUGCCUCCGAUAUAUACCAGACCACAGGCCGGGCCAUCUGGGCCUUCC